UACGUAAGGGGCGAGCGUUGUCCGGGAUCAUUGGGCGUAAAGCGCGUGUAGGCGGUCCGAUAAGUUCGCUGUGAAAGUCGGGGGCUUAACCCUCGGAUGCCGGUGAAUACUGUCGGGCUUGAGUACGGAAGAGGCGAGUGGAAUUCCUGGUGUAGCGGUGAAAUGCGCAGAUAUCAGGAGGAACACCACUUGCGAAGGCAGCUCGCUGGGACGUUACUGACGCUGAGACGCGAAAGCGUGGGGAGCAAACAGG
rnacentral:rRNA from 1 species